rnacentral:rRNA from 4 species
CCGGGAUCCGGUUGGAUCCACCUCCUUUCU